GACGAACGCUGGCGGCGUGCUUAACACAUGCAAGUCGAACGGAAAGGCCUGCUUUCCCUUGUGGAUUGCGGGUACUCGAGUGGCGAACGGGUGAGUAACACGUGAGUGAUCUGCCCCCAACUUGGGUAUAAGCCUGGGAAACUGGGUCUAAUUCCCGAUAGGACUGCAGGGUGGUGCCUGUGGUGGAAAACGAUUUUCUAGUGGUUGGGGAUGAGCUCGCGGCCUAUCAGCUUGUUGGUGGGGUAAUGGCCUACCAAGGCGGCGACGGGUAGCCGGCCUGAGAGGGUGGACGGCCACAUUGGGACUGAGAUACGGCCCAGACUCCUACGGGAGGCAGCAGUGGGGAAUAUUGCACAAUGGGCGGAAGCCUGAUGCAGCGACGCCGCGUGGGGGAUGACGGCCUUCGGGUUGUAAACUCCUUUCGACCGCGAGGAAGCCACCUGGUUGGAAGGGUGGUGACGGUAGUGGUAGAAGAGGCACCGGCUAACUACG
rnacentral:rRNA from 1 species